GCAAGACUUAACUUUUGAAGUAGGGGUCUGCUUACUCGUUUACCUCUUGCUUCUUGCGUCACCACCUACGACCAGAGCCACUCUCACCGUUCCUCGGACUUUACACGUCUUACUCAUUGCCAGUAUUGAUUUUUUCUACAAGAGGACAUCAUAAUGAACAAGAAACGUUUAUAUUGUACUGGGUUAUUCCCAACAGGAGCAAAGUUACAGGGCACUCUUCAUAGGAAAUCAUGAAUAGCCUCAUCCUCAUUAAUCUUAAUUUAUACAAAAAAAUUUUUACUUGUACCUAGAAAUUUUUUGCAUUAUAAAUUGAAAGCAAAAAUUUUCUUGGAGCAAGAAAAAAAUUCUUGUCUUCAAUUUAUAAUGCAAAAUAUUUCUUAUGCCAAGAAAUCCAUUUUUUCUGUGUAAAUAUAAAAUUUCAUAAAUAAGAAAUAUACUUUUCCAUUCCGGGUAUAGCCAGAUGAUAUAUUUUUUUAAUAUCGAUCGAUAAAAUUAUCGUUAAUGCGCUAAAUUGAGUAAUUUAUCAAAUAAGUUGAUAAGAAGUACUCAAUAUAAUUUAGUUUACAUAAAAGCAAUUACUUAAAUAAUUUACAUUAUGUAAUUAAACAGUAAGCAAAUAUAUUAUAUUUUGUCAUACCGUAAUGGAAAAAUUACGUAAAUAAUGAUGGUUGAAAAAUGAAAUUAUUGUCAGUUGAUAUCUUCCCAACAAUGAAAAUAAUAUAAUAAAUAUAUAAUUAUAAUUAUCUAUUAAAUAUUAUUGUUAUGUGGACUUUAUUAUAUAAAGGGCUAAUGCUAAAAUGUACACAAGAUAAGUUAUUAAAAAUGUUCAUCAUUGCAUUUUAAAAAAUAAUAAUCACACAUUGACCGCAUCGCAUUUUCAUUAAUUAUUUCUCUAACAAAAUUAAAAAUAAUAUUCCGACUGAUGAUUAUCAAUUUCAAUAAUUUUAUGUAAUAAAACUUAUUCCUUUCUUCUUCAAUUAAAUUAAUUUUUUCGUAAUUUUCUGUACUAAAAGUUCAGUUUAUUAAAUACCUAUUGUGCCGCGCUUCCUUUUUAUUAACCAUUAAUUCAUUAAUUAUGACAAAUGUCCACCUGGAUAAAAAAGUUGGCAUCGAUGAACUUUCCAAAGACAAAAACAUUGUUUUUUUUUUCACUACGUCUUACAAUAUUUUUUUUUAAAUAUUCAGUUUAUUCAUAAGCACCAGUACUGAUAAUUCGUGCUUUACAAAAUUUUCUUACUUCUUACACUGGACACAUUUCAUUCAUUUUUGUUAAUUAAUCUUACUCUCUAAUUAAGAGAUCCACGAUCAUGGCGUAUCACGAUUAAUUUUUAUUUCAAAUUAUUAUUAUUAUUCAUACCAUGAAAACGUCACUAGUUAUUAAGAUGUGCAAUAUAAAAAAUCCUUAUCACAAAUACUUUUUUUUUUUUAUCAAGGAUUUUUCUAAUUAAGGUUCGUUCCUUUAAUUAAAAUUUAAUUAUUACUUAAAAAUUUAAUAAAUAAUACAUACUCUAGCGAAUCCGAACUACGGUAGGUAAAUUACUCCAAAUUUCCCGCAUUUUACGGUCAUUUGUGACAAAUUGCGGUAAAAUACCGGAAUUCGCGGCAUUUUUACUCCCACAGUGCAAUACCUUUAUGGUAAAAUGUAAUUUUUCAGUAAAUUUGCACAUUUACUAUAAAAUACCGCAGUUUUACCGUAAAAUAUCGUAGGAUUGCCGUAAAUUUACAGCGAAUUACCGCAAGCCACUGCGUUCUUGCCGUAACUUAGCACAAUACUUCACUCUGCGGUAAAAUUCCGUAUUUUUUUCAGUAAGUCUGCACGUUUACGGUAAAAUACCGCAAUGUUACCGCAUAUUUACCAUAAGAUACCGCAGUUUUACCGAAAAAAAAUCGUAGGAUUACCGUAAAUAUACGGCGAAUUACCACAAGUCACGGCGAUAUUACCGUAACGUAGUACAAUACUUCACUCUGCGGUAAAAUUCCGUAUUUUAUUCAGUAUAUCUGCACGUUUACGGUAAAAUAACGCAAUAUUACUGCACAUUUACUAUAGAAUACCGCAGUUUUACCGAAAAAAAUCUAAAGAUUACCGUAAAUUUACGGCGAAUUAUCGCAAGUCACGGCGUUAUUACCGUAACGUAGUACAAUACUUGACUCUGUGGUAAAAUUCCGUAUUUUUUUCAGUAAAUCUGCACGUUUACGGUAAAAUACCGUGAUUUUACCGCACAUUUGCGAUAAAAAUACCGCAAGUUUACCGUAAAUUACUGCAGGAUUAUCGCAAAAUAUCGUAACUUGCCGUACUUUUACCGUAAAAUGUCGUAAUUUGUCGUAAAAUACCGUGAUUCGGAUCCACUGGGGUAAGUAAUUAUUUUUUUUUUAUAAUUGAGCUCACAAGUUCCUUCACAACUACAAUACAAUAAAAAAUAAAUUCAAUUUUAAUUAAUAAAUAAAUAUUUAUGAUACGGAUUUGAUAAAAAAUUUUAUUCGUUCGUUAUUGUCCGAUUUUUGAUUAAAAAAAUUUCUGAUAAAAAUAAUUUACUAAAUAUAAAUAAUUGUUGAAGUGAAGGACAAACAAAAUAAUUAGAGGCCCCUUUAAAUAAAAAAAAAAUAAUAAUUAACUUGAUUAUUUUUUUUUUGAUAAAUACUAUUAAUUACUAAUAAAAAAUGCCAUAAAAAUAGCGUGGAUGAGCGGCAAACGCGACAUGGUAAUAACGGCAAGUAAAAUUAAUUAUGUUUAUAUAUUAUAUUAAUUAAUAUUAUUGAUAAAAGGGAUAACUAAAAAAAUAUAAAGAAUAAAUUAUUGAAAACGCAAAAAAAAGAGUUGAUUUAUUAUUAUUCGUAAUUAUUUUUUUAAAAAGUGAUUGAACAUUUAAUUUUGAACAUUGUAAAAUUAAUUAAUUAAUAAUAAUUAUAAUUAUUAUUAUCAUUAUAAAUACAACUGAUAUUUAUAAUUAUUUAUAUUAUAUACCAGUGAGCCUUUGUCACAUUUUGCCGUUCAGCCACAAAUAUUUAAAUAAACAAUUAAAUUAUUAUUUUACUUAAUGUUUCACACACCGUCAAAACGAGCUAAGAUGCUAACGAAUUCAUUUUUUUAAAAAUACAGGUGCCAUAUUUAUUGUUUUUUUUUCUUUUUUCUUUUAUCAGUAGUAGUAAUUAAUAUUAAUAAUAAUAAUGAAACAAAACGGAAUAGGUAUUGAAGUAAUAUUUAUAUAGAGCCCAGUCUUACAAAAAAAUUAACCGCAUUGUUUCCAGGGACGGGCAACGCUCAGUAUCGAAUAUAAUUUUAAAAAACUAACAACCGAUGUGAUGGUACGAAUUUUUAGUCACUGAGAAAGUAGGUAAAUAUUAUUAUUAUCAAUAAUUACAAUUAAUUAAUUAAUAUUUAUAUAUAAGCACAUAUUCAUUGAAAAUUAAACUAAUUCAAAUACAAAUCCUACUUUCAUUCCUAUUGUUUAUUUUUUAUUUUAGUUUUAUUGUUUAUGAAAAAUCAAAGCGGACAUUUUUUUU